rnacentral:rRNA from 1 species
UACAGAGGGUGCAAGCGUUAAUCGGAAUUACUGGGCGUAAAGCGUGCGUAGACGGUUACAUAAGUCGGGUGUGAAAGCCCCGGGCUCAACCUGGGAAUUGCAUUCGAGACUGCGUAGCUAGGGUGCGGAAGAGGGAAGCGGAAUUUCCGGUGUAGUGGUGAAAUGCGUAGAUAUCGGGAGGAACACCAGUGGCGAAGGCGGCUUCCUCGGCCUGUUCUUGACGCUGAGGCGCGAAAGCUAGGGGAGCAAA